rnacentral:lncRNA from 10 species
GAACCUGCAAAGUGGCUACUUUAGAGAAGGCCCUCUGAAGAGCUGGACUGUGAGUUCUGACCUGAAUGAAAAGAAGCAGCUACCCAUGAAAUGAUGUGGGGAAGCAUUCAGGGUGUAGAGGAACACCCUGGCACAGGCAUAAGCAUGGGUUGUGGCUGGCAGUAAUUGUCUACAGCAGGGAUGAUAUUUUUUCACAGUAUUAGGCAAGGCAAUUAAGGAAGGGCAUGGCUGCUCAGAGAGACAGUUUGCAUUUGAUUUUAAGUGCAGGGGGAAGACAUUUAAACAAUAAGCGGGCAAGUGGCAUAAACUGAAUCAUGCCUUUAAAAGACCUCUCUGGCUGUCUUGUGGCAAACAGAACAUAGGGGAGCCAAGAGGAAGCAGGGAGGCCAGUAGAGACACAAGAAGGAAAGUCGCCUUGCCUGAGUCGUUGCAGGGGAAUCAGAUGGAUUCAAUAGAUGGAUUCAAAAUAUAUUUUGGAGGUUUUGGAUUCAGAAGCAGAUGGGACUCCUGAAAGGGCCUUUCUGAGAGUAUGGGAAAAAGAAUUGCUGCUUCUGGGGCCCGGAUGACCACAUGUGGCUCAGAGUUGGAAGGACACCAUUUUCCUUGGCUCUGCACAGAACCCAGCACCUCACCAGAGUUGCAGUGACUGGAAACCCAUGCAGCAUCAGUGAGCGCAUCCCUGGCGAGAACAUUCCAUUCUCUCGGUGCUAAUGAGGAUGCUCUAAUAGUCUGGUUUUGGCAGCAUUUGUAGAAAAAGAAGAAAUGGAAUGGAAGAAAGAGCAGAACAAAGGAAGCUCACUAACUGCUACUGAACUUUGCCUUGGGGUCACAUGGAAGGUACCUCUUUGUAGGACAGUGAGGGAAAGACUAGAAUCAGGAACCAUGAGCCUGUUCCUCCUUUUGUGGAAGCUGUGAGGGAAUAAGCAUUUGGAGUCACAGAUAUUUGGAGGAUGAAUGAAUGAACUAACCAAUGAAAAAUCUUUACUGUAAAAACAAUCUUUUUAGCACUCUAAGUGGUUGAUCUUACUUGGACUGAAUAUUAAAAAUUGGCCAAAUUAGCACCAAGAACAAGAAAUACAGUCUUUGAAAAUUAGAAAUUGGAACUUACUAGAGCAUAAGUGGCUGUUUUAAAAUGUUUCUGGUGGCACUUGGUUAUUGUUACCAUGUUUUUAACCUACAUCAUUGGGGUUUGAUCACUUUCUAACAUCAUCAUCUCUGAAACACACAUUUUCUAGUAAUUAUAAAACUGCAGCCUCAGGGGUAGCAAUCCUCAGCUCAGAGGUCCUAGGUAAAGUUCGGGGCAGACAGGACAUGCAUGUAUUAGAGAACCCAAGUCAGUGUUGUUUGAUAUAAGCAGGAAGGAACUAAGGGGGAAAGUGGGCUCACAUUUCUUUCUCAUUUUUGUCUUGAAUUCCCUGGUGACUUAAUAUCUGAGUUAGUUUUCACGAGGGAGGGAUGUAAAUGGAUGAGGAAUCGGCCCCAGUUUGGAUAGCUGAGCAAGUUCUCCUGAGAAACAGCUACAUGACCCUGCUAAUUCUGAUAACACAGUUCAGGGAAAUAAAAUCCAGGGUGUCUUUUCCCACAAAAAGUACGAUUUAUACAACUCUUGAGCAUUCAGCAUUAUCCUCUGGAAACUAGGAGGAUUCGUGCAACUUGAAGAGUUACAUAGGACUUACUAACCCUAGAGAGAAUAUUCUUUAUAUAGUUUUAUGAGGAUAUUUAUAAAAUAAUUAGGUCUUUAAUAACAUGGUCCUGAACUCUUAACUGUUUAACAAACACCUCGAGUUAAAUAAUUCAUACAUUAAUAGAUAUAUAGGACAAAUUUUAAUGCUUAAAGUAUUUGAAUCAAAUGACCCUAAAAGAAGACAGGUAUUUGAUCAAGCCAGGUAAAUACUGCAAUGGAUGGGGAGUCUAAGCACAGCUGUCUGGGUACCAGGCAAUUUCCUUGGUUCUUUAUAUGAAUUAUGUGAUGUGAAUUAUGUCCUGCAUAAAUGGUGACUAGAGGAACAAAGGUGUUAUAACUCAGAAAUUGCAUCAGUACAUUUUAUCCAGCACAUUGGAAUCGUCACCACAGAAUCAGCACAAAGCAAUUGUGGGCAAACUUAGAUACAACCAAGUAGAAAGUCUUAGCAAUUAAUAAUGAUUUUAAGAAAAUUUAAUGGGAGUAGCUGUUGAUUUCAUGGUUUAAAAAAUUGUGGGGCCAGGUGUAGUGGCUCACGCCUGUAAUCCCAACACUCUGGGAGGCCGAGGCAGGCAGAUUGCCUGAGGUCAGGAAUUCGAGACCACCCUGGUCCACAUGGUGAAACCCCGUCUCUACUAAAAAUACAAAAAUUAGCCAGGCAUGGUGGCGGACACCUGUAAUCCCAGCUACUUGGGAGGCUGAGGGAGAGAAUUGCUUGAACCCAGGAGGCAGAGGUUGCAGUGAGCUAUCACACCACUGCACUCCAGCAUGGGAGACAGAGCGAGACUCCAUCUCAAAGAAAAAAAAAUUGUGAGGCUGUCCACUAUUUUAAGCUACUGGUAAAGCAACAGUGUAGGUGAUGAAGCUGUAGAACUUGUUCCCCACCCUAAAGCAAUGAAUUUAUGAAGAAGCCCACACCAUGAGUCAGAUUUUUAUGAAAAUAGUCUCUCUUAAAACAAAUGUCCUCCAGGACCUGUGUCCUGGAGAAGAAAGCACUAGCUUAACAUUUUAAGAUUGCAAAGGAGUGACUAUUUUACCUGGUGUAAAUGCUAAGAGAAUUGUAAUUAUGCCAGAAUUUUCAUUAGGAUUGUUUCAUUUUGUUUUUGCUAUUAAUGUUCUAGUUAAAAAGAUCUAUGGUUUGAGUAGUCUGCUCUAUUCCUAGUUUUCUCAUGAGCAUCUUUAUUUUUAGGGCAAAAAUUCUAUUGCCCCCAAGGUUUUUCAGAAGAACACACAUGACCUUCUAUCAUCAAUGCCCAAAUUUUCACCUGAAAUCCCUCCUCAUAGUCUCCUAGAGUGAGUUAAUUCCAGGGCUGACAACAUUUGGGCUGUAGAACUUCUCUUGCCACUAGGAAAAGAUGGUUGCCAACAGUACACAGUGCCUACAGGAGGUGGGGAGCACAUUUUGUUAUUCUGCGUGAAGUUGCAGUAUAAAGUAUGAGGCAGCCUUAGUUACGAUCAAUGUUCAAAGGUUUUAGGCGUCUCAGAAUUUAAUCUUCCCAGUUCUUUUUUAUUGUUUUGGCAGUGCCAAUAGGUGGAUGAAGUUGGACCCUAAAUGGAUGCUACUGCGGUGACUGGGGCUUAUCUCAUACAUGCUGAAUCUUAUGCCCAUGCACUGUGAACUCUGGCGCCAUACAGAAAGCUGACAAAAAUGCUUCAUUCCCUCAGUUCAUGAUAUUCCACUCCUUUUUCUUUCUCAUUUCUGCUCCAAGAAUAUAAUCAAGGAUGAUAGCCAAUUUUACCUAUGAAAUAUACUGUCAAACACAGCAUAUUUUGUAUGAUAAAUACAAAACUUAGUUUAUGACAAGUAUAUUGUCAAGAUAGAAGACACUGCCCAAAGAAUUUUAAUUUUUGAAAUACAACAACAAAAGAUUUUUGACAGGGGGCAAAAACAGGAGAUGCCUUUCUUUCUAAUUUCCAUUACAUUGUUAAAUUAAGCCAAGAUGAUUACGGGAAUGCUUGAAUAUUAACAAUACAUGUAUUUUGUGGGUGAGGUGGCUGUCCACUUGUAAGAUAAAGUUGAUGAUUUGCUUCCAAAUAUAAAUGUAUGAGAUGAGCACACAAGGCACAGGUUCUUUCUUCUUUGGUGCUUAUUCCCCCCCAGUUAAGUUUUUGCAUUUUUUAUAGAGUUGCUAGAAUCACCAUUAACAUGCCUUCUUAUACCGUAGAUCAUUUAUAGAUAAUCAGCAUAAAAUAAUUUAUUCUUCAUAAAUAAUACCAAAGUUGUUUCUGGAUUUUCUUCUCUUAUUGCUUUUCAGAGCCAUGUAUAAUUCUCUAAUGGAAAUAAUUUAAAAUAUACCAAGGAUGUCUGUAAGUUAAAAGGAUAAUAUAGAAAUGGUUAUUGAAUCAGCACAUUAGCUGUUAGCCUUUCUAUUUGCUUAUCAUACAAUGGGAACUGCUGUUUACUUUUUAUUCUACAAAGGACAGGCCCACUUUCUGUCUCCAAACAGUUAAAGGAAUUAGAUGAGAAAUUAUCCCAAAUGAACUGUACACAGUUUGAUUAGCCUAGCUGCAGAGUAUAGUUUCUGAAAAAAGAGUCAUCAACACGCCGAGGUCAAAUGCAUUCUUACUGAAUAAUAAAUUGAAGCCCCAAAUGCUUUAUGCAGUAGCAUAUUAGUAUAUAUGAUUCUUGUUAGCAAUGCAGUAAGUAUUUUAAUUCGCUGAAUAUUUAGGAUGGGUUAUUUUAAAGCUGUCCCAUUUAACAUCACAACAUUGAAAACAGGUUCUGUGUAAAUAGGUCAAAAAUGAUAUUCAUAUAUAAAGGAGGACAGACUUUUUAAAUACUGAUAACAAUAUUGCUUGUUAAGAUCUUUAUGCCUUAAAAAGCUCCUUGGCAUAUAUGAUAUAAUGUCACUUUAUCCUCACCACAGGCCUGUCAGGUAUGCGGGAAAAACAUAUGUUUAGAUAUAAUUUUUGUAUCAUAAAUUGAUCUAAUGGAGACAUGUACUUUGUAACCAAAAAUAAGGAACAUAAAAAAGUAUACAAUAAAUACAUAUGUAUAUAUACGUAUGUAUACACACACACAUACGCACACACACAUAUGGUGUUUGCAGUUAAAUAAAGCACUUGAAAAUCAUAAGCAUAGAUCAAAUAUGUCUUUUGUUACUAUAUAAUAAAGUUAAAGUAGCCCAGUAUUAGAAAUAAAAAAAAAAAUCACACACAAGGGCAACAAUCCUUGAUUUCAGUGUUUCCAACCCUGGAAUAAUCUGGUACCAAAUGUUCAGCUUCCUUCCAAAUCAUUGGUCAAUUGUUGGAAUGUGUGUGAUGCAUGCAUGUGUAUGUGUGUGUGUGCAUGUAAAAAGCAAUCUUAUUUGCAAAAUAUGCCAAGGCAAAUAUUUUGAAAUGAAGUGGAAAAUCAAGGUGUUGUCCACAGAAUUUUGCAUUUUUAUCAAAAAGACCCUUAAGCAUUCCCAGAAACUGGCGCUUCCACAGUGCCAUGAGAAGUGAAAACAUGUUUUGACCCAAACUGUAGCCAUUUUAUUUCACUUCCAAAGUAUUAUUCUACAAUCUUUUUCACAAAUAUGAGAGUAACUAUAUUGUAUACAGGUGUAUUAUUCAUGUUUUACUGAAUUUUCAUAAGGAAUAAAAAUUUUAAAACAGAAAGGUAGAUCGAUCAUGUGAGGAGAUAAAACAUUCCCAUUCAACCGCAAAGAUAUUCCUAGGCAUUGAUCUAUGAGUACCACUCGACCGCAGGAAAUAUUUCCCGGCCCUGUCUUUAGAUAAUAUGUGGACAAAGAAGGCAAGAUAAGCUAGAAGCAUGUAGCAUUUAAUAGUUUAAAUGAUUGACACCGUGGGUUGCUAAGUUUCAUAGAUGCUUGCCUGAGUUCUUUACUUAUUAAAAAAUAAAUAAAUAAAUAAGUAGAAGUUAGCAAAACAAUAAAACAACAGAUGUGCAAGCUCAAAUUUAAAACCAAAGCCUUCCUUCUUCCCUUGUCUUUCCUCUUCCCUUUUCUCUGCCUGACUCCAAGCACACCUUUCCAGCUCAUUACUGCAAAUCAUUUGAAUUCCAGCACACAAUGUCACCUGCUCUGUAAUCUGAUUACUUUAUGGAGGAAUUAGUAUGUAUAUUUAAUGUAGAAGGGUUUUAAUCUUGAU